rnacentral:rRNA from 1 species
GACGAACGCUGGCGGCGUGCUUAACACAUGCAAGUCGAACGAAGUGGCGAACGGGUGAGUAAUACGUGGGUAACCUGCCCUCCUUUUUGGGAUAAGCCUUGGAAACGGGGUCUAAUACCGAAUAAAGGGGGAUGGGCUCGCGGCCUAUGAGCUUGUUGGUGGGGUGAUGGCCUACCAAGGCGGUGACGGGUAGCCGGCCUGAGAGGCUGACCGGCCACAUUGGGACUGAGAGACGGCCUAGACUCCUACGCGGGGGAGCAGUGGGGGCUAGUGCACAAUGGGCGAAAGCCUGAUGCAGCGACGCCGCGUGGGGGAUGAAGGCUUUCGGGUUGUAAACCUCUUUCGGUAUAUAACGGGUAGGUGGAGAAGAAGCGCCGGCUAACUACGUGCCAGCAGCCGCGGUAAUAC